rnacentral:rRNA from 1 species
AACUCCGAAUGCCAUGUACUUAUACUCGGGAGUCAGACUGCGAGUGAUAAGAUCCGUAGUCGAAAGGGAAACAGCCCAGACCACCAGUUAAGGUCCCCAAAUAUAUGUUAAGUGGAAAAGGAUGUGGGGUUGCUUAGACAACCAGGAUGUUGGCUUAGAAGCAGCCACCAUUGAAAGAGUGCGUAAUAGCUCACUGGUCGAGUGACCCCGCGCCGAAAAUGUACCGGGGCUAAACAUAUUACCGAAACUGUGGAUGAACCUCUUUAGAGGUUCGUGGUAGGAGAGCGUUCUAAGGGCGGUGAAGUCAGACCGGAAGGACUGGUGGAGCGCUUAGAAGUGAGAAUGCCGGUAUGAGUAGCGAAAGAAGGGUGAGAAUCCCUUCCACCGAAUAUCUAAGGUUUCCUGAGGAAGGCUCGUCCGCUCAGGGUUAGUCGGGACCUAAGCCGAGGCCGAUAGGCGUAGGCGAUGGACAACAGGUAGAGAUUCCUGUACCAGUGCUAAUUGUUUAACCGAUGGGGUGACACAGAAGGAUAGGGAAUCGCACGAAUGGAAAUGUGCGUCCAAGCAGUGAGUGUGAGAAGUAGGCAAAUCCGCUUCUCGCGAAGCAUGAGCUGUGAUGGGGAAGGAAAUUAAGUACGGAAGUUCCUGAUUUCACGCUGUCAAGAAAAGCCUCUAGGAAGAGUAGUACUGCCCGUACCGCAAACCGACACAGGUAGAUGAGGAGAGAAUCCUAAGGUGAGCGAGAGAACUCUCGUUAAGGAACUCGGCAAAAUGACCCCGUAACUUCGGGAGAAGGGGUGCUCUAUUAGGGUGCAAGCCCGAGAGAGCCGCAGUGAAUAGGCCCAGGCGACUGUUUAGCAAAAACACAGGUCUCUGCAAAACCGUAAGGUGACGUAUAGGGGCUGACGCCUGCCCGGUGCUGGAAGGUUAAGAGGAGUGCUUAGCUUCGGCGAAGGUACGAAUUGAAGCCCCAGUAAACGGCGGCCGUAACUAUAACGGUCCUAAGGUAGCGAAAUUCCUUGUCGGGUAAGUUCCGACCCGCACGAAAGGCGCAACGAUCUGGGCACUGUCUCAACGAGAGACUCGGUGAAAUUAUAGUACCUGUGAAGAUGCAGGUUACCCGCGACAGGACGGAAAGACCCCGUGGAGCUUUACUGCAACCUGAUAUGGAAUGUUUGUACCGCUUGUACAGGAUAGGUAGGAGCCGAAGAGACGUGUGCGCUAGCAUACGAGGAGGCAAUGGUGGGAUACUACCCUGGCUGUAUGACCAUUCUAACCCGCCACGCUUAGCGCGUGGGGAGACAGUGUCAGGUGGGCAGUUUGACUGGGGCGGUCGCCUCCUAAAGAGUAACGGAGGCGCCCAAAGGUUCCCUCAGAAUGGAUGGAAAUCAUUCGCAGAGUGUAAAGGCACAAGGGAGCUUGACUGCGAGACUGACAAGUCGAGCAGGGACGAAAGUCGGGCUUAGUGAUCCGGUGGUUCCGCAUGGAAGGGCCAUCGCUCAACGGAUAAAAGCUACCCCGGGGAUAACAGGCUUAUCUCCCCCAAGAGUCCACAUCGACGGGGAGGUUUGGCACCUCGAUGUCGGCUCGUCGCAUCCUGGGGCUGUAGUCGGUCCCAAGGGUUGGGCUGUUCGCCCAUUAAAGCGGCACGCGAGCUGGGUUCAGAACGUCGUGAGACAGUUCGGUCCCUAUCCGUCGCGGGCGCAGGAAAUUUGAGAGGAGCUGUCCUUAGUACGAGAGGACCGGGAUGGACACACCGCUGGUGUACCAGUUGUUCCGCCAGGAGCAUCGCUGGGUAGCUAUGUGUGGCAGGGAUAAACGCUGAAAGCAUCUAAGCGUGAAGCCCCCCUCAAGAUGAGAUUUCCCAUUUCUUCGGAAAGUAAGAUCCCUGAAAGAUGAUCAGGUAGAUAGGU